rnacentral:rRNA from 1 species
UGGCGGCGUGCCUAAUACAUGCAAGUCGAGCGAACGGACGAGAAGCUUGCUUCUCUGAUGUUAGCGGCGGACGGGUGAGUAACACGUGGAUAACCUACCUAUAAGACUGGGAUAACUUCGGGAAACCGGAGCUAAUACCGGAUAAUAUUUUGAACCGCAUGGUUCAAAAGUGAAAGACGGUCUUGCUGUCACUUAUAGAUGGAUCCGCGCUGCAUUAGCUAGUUGGUAAGGUAACGGCUUACCAAGGCAACGAUGCAUAGCCGACCUGAGAGGGUGAUCGGCCACACUGGAACUGAGACACGGUCCAGACUCCUACGGGAGGCAGCAGUAGGGAAUCUUCCGCAAUGGGCGAAAGCCUGACGGAGCAACGCCGCGUGAGUGAUGAAGGUCUUCGGAUCGUAAAACUCUGUUAUUAGGGAAGAACAUAUGUGUAAGUAACUGUGCACAUCUUGACGGUACCUAACCAGAAAGCCACGGCUAACUACGUGCCAGCAGCCGCGGUAAUACGUAGGUGGCAAGCGUUAUCCGGAAUUAUUGGGCGUAAAGCGCGCGUAGGCGGUUUUUUAAGUCUGAUGUGAAAGCCCACGGCUCAACCGUGGAGGGUCAUUGGAAACUGGAAAACUUGAGUGCAGAAGAGGAAAGUGGAAUUCCAUGUGUAGCGGUGAAAUGCGCAGAGAUAUGGAGGAACACCAGUGGCGAAGGCGACUUUCUGGUCUGUAACUGACGCUGAUGUGCGAAAGCGUGGGGAUCAAACAGGAUUAGAUACCCUGGUAGUCCACGCCGUAAACGAUGAGUGCUAAGUGUUAGGGGGUUUCCGCCCCUUAGUGCUGCAGCUAACGCAUUAAGCACUCCGCCUGGGGAGUACGACCGCAAGGUUGAAACUCAAAGGAAUUGACGGGGACCCGCACAAGCGGUGGAGCAUGUGGUUUAAUUCGAAGCAACGCGAAGAACCUUACCAAAUCUUGACAUCCUUUGACAACUCUAGAGAUAGAGCUUUCCCCUUCGGGGGACAAAGUGACAGGUGGUGCAUGGUUGUCGUCAGCUCGUGUCGUGAGAUGUUGGGUUAAGUCCCGCAACGAGCGCAACCCUUAAGCUUAGUUGCCAUCAUUAAGUUGGGCACUCUAAGUUGACUGCCGGUGACAAACCGGAGGAAGGUGGGGAUGACGUCAAAUCAUCAUGCCCCUUAUGAUUUGGGCUACACACGUGCUACAAUGGACAAUACAAAGGGCAGCGAAACCGCGAGGUCAAGCAAAUCCCAUAAAGUUGUUCUCAGUUCGGAUUGUAGUCUGCAACUCGACUACAUGAAGCUGGAAUCGCUAGUAAUCGUAGAUCAGCAUGCUACGGUGAAUACGUUCCCGGGUCUUGUACACACCGCCCGUCACACCACGAGAGUUUGUAACACCCGAAGCCGGUGGAGUAACCUUUUAGGAGCUAGCCGUCGAAGGUGGGACAAAUGAUUGGGGUGAAGUCGUAACAAGGUAGCCGUAUCGGAAGGUGCGGCUGGAUCACCUCC